rnacentral:lncRNA from 1 species
AUUACAGUGGAGUCAGUCAAAACACCCUUGAACACAGAACCAAAGCUGCCACCCCCUAAUCUUUCUGAGAAGUUUUUUGUUGCAUGCUGGAGAUCCUUGUACCUAAAAGCUACUGUUCCACAUAUAAUUCUACCGACUGAUGAACAGUUCCUUUUAUUUCUCCUAACAAACAUGAUAACAAUUGUAAACAAGGACAGAAUGAGAACGCUUGCAACAGCAACCACUCCAAUGAUCAAUCCUCUUGUGUGCUUUGAGCUCUCACUAACAUCAUCCUCAGCUGCAAGGCGAAGAGGAACGUUCCUAACACAUCCACCGGUCUGGUCUCCUAGCUCCCAGUCCUGUGGUGACCUGAUGGAGAAGCCCUCCAUGCAGUUGCAGAACGGGAGCAUGUCCUCUCUGCAGAGAGCGAAAGCUCCACAGACAGCGUACACGUCACACUGA